rnacentral:rRNA from 1 species
GGAUAACCUACCCUUAGGACCGGGAUAACCUUGGGAAACUGAGGAUAAUACUGGAUAGGCAAUUAUUCCUGGAAUGGUUUUUUGUUUAAAUGUUUUUUCGCCUAAGGAUGGGUCUGCGGCCGAUUAGGUAGUUGGUUAGGUAACGGCUUACCAAGCCAUUGAUCGGCACGGGUUGUGAGAGCAAGAGCCCGGAGAUGGAACCUGAGACAAGGUUCCAGGCCCUACGGGGUGUAGCAGGCGCGAAACCUCCGCAAUGUGAGAAAUCGCGACGGGGGGAUCCCAAGUGCCAUUCUUAACGGGAUGGCUUUUCAUUAGUGUAAAGAGCUUUUGGAAUAAGGGCUGGGCAAGACCGGUGCCAGCCGCCGCGGUAACACCGGCAGCUCUAGUGGUAGCAGUUUUUAUUGGGCCUAAAGCGUCCGUAGCCGGUUUAAUAAGUCUCUGGUGAAAUCC